GACGUAGGUGGCGAGCGUUGUUCGGAAUCACUGGGCAUAAAGCGCGUGUAGGCGGCAGCGCAAGUCGGGCGUGAAAUCCCACGGCUCAACCGUGGAAGUGCACUCGAAACUGCGCAGCUAGAGUCCUGGAGAGGAAGGUGGAAUGCUUGGUGUAGAGGUGAAAUUCGUAGAUAUCAAGCGGAACACCGGUGGCGAAGGCGGCCUCUGGACAGUGACUGACGCUGAGACGCGAAAGCGUGGGGAGCAAACAGG
rnacentral:rRNA from 1 species